UCUCCUGAAACUGGCUGUGAAAAAAAAUGAGGGACUUCAAUAAAGAUAUGGAAGGAGGACCCUACAUCCUUCCUUAUCCUGAUGGAUCAAAAGUCAUCAACAUCCCUGGGACACAAAAGCCUUUCACGCCGAAAGAAUACAAAGCAGAAAUAGGCCGGACACAUGCACAAAUUACACUUUUUAUAUUCCAUGAAAAGGACCGGGAAGAAGAUCGAGAACUUGGGUCAGAGCAUUCAGAAUCUGACACUGAGGUUGUGAUUGGAAGUAGCAGACGUACAGCUGAGUUUGAUCUCGCUGACACACUGCCAUUGGAACCAGAAUGAAAGCAGCCCCAUACCAAAAGUGAGAGGAACAAUCAAUCGUCUUGGGGGACCGUCACCAGGGAGUGCAGUACCAGAGGUAGUAAUAUAUUGCUAGAGAUUACUUGUCACAAUCCAAUUCAAACUACAUGGGAUUGCCUUUUAUGUGUGUAUUAGGCUACUCAUUUGUAUAUAGGCCUAAUGUAGUUUCAUAGAUUAUAGACAGCUAUAUUUGUAAUCACAUUCUACUUUCUGCGUGUCCAGUAUUUUAAAGAAUGGGCAUAGGCAUAGCCUAAUAAAGCAUUGGUCAUUCUUUAUUGAAAAACCCAGGAGUUAAAAGUAAAAUGUAAACAACCACAGAGAUGGUUAAUCCCAAAGCAUUGAAAAAUGAUCAAAAUGUAUUACUUUCUAGAUGGUAAUGCAAAUGAGUAAAUAGAAAUGUAAAAUUUUAAUCAAAAUGUGCAAGUCUCUUCACUGACAGUAGGUACAUUCUGAAUUAACAUGGAUUACCUAUGAGGUAAGUGGUAGAGUUCAUUUGGUAUUCCCCCAGGACAUGAUGCAAGUCUUGAGGGCCAAAUCCUGUGCUUGUUCCAGAGAUCGGUUUAUUCAUUGAGAUCUUUCUGCAGAAUAUUUCUAAAGCAGAAUCUGAGUAGACACUGGUGUUCAUUGCUGCCAUUAAAGUGUCCUGCGUCUGUGAAGUCCAUCCAAAAUUGAGCCCUAGGAAUAAAUUGAAUACAACUCCAUAAAUAAAACUAAUUAUGACCUGCAAUACUGCAAGUGCUUUAUAAAAGUACAACACGGUGUUAACAAAGUAUUGCAAUGGUGGCUCUAGUGACACCAGGGUAGCCUACAUCCUUAACAGUGGUUCCCAACCAAGGGUAGUAGGGUUGAGCCCAGAGACUGUAAAAAAU